rnacentral:rRNA from 1 species
UGCCAGCAGCCGCGGUAAUACGGAGGGGGUUAGCGUUGUUCGGAAUUACUGGGCGUAAAGCGCACGUAGGCGGACUAUUAAGUUAGAGGUGAAAUCCCGGGGCUCAACCCCGGAACUGCCUUUAAUACUGGUAGUCUUGAGUUCGAGAGAGGUGAGUGGAAUUCCAAGUGUAGAGGUGAAAUUCGUAGAUAUUUGGAGGAACACCAGUGGCGAAGGCGGCUCACUGGCUCGAUACUGACGCUGAGGUGCGAAAGCGUGGGGAGCAAACAGGAUUAGAUA